AACAAACGCUGGCGGCGUGCCUAAUACAUGCAAGUCGAACGGGGAAAGCUUUCGGGUGAGUACUAGUGGCGCACGGGUGAGUAACGCGUGGAUAAUCUGCCUUAGAGUGGGGGAUAACUAGUCGAAAGAUUAGCUAAUACCGCAUAAGACCACAGGAACCGAGGUUCUAGAGGUCAAAGGUUUUUCGCUCUAAGAUGAGUCCGCGUAAGAUUAGCUAGUUGGUGAGGUAACGGCUCACCAAGGCAACGAUCUUUAACUGGUCUGAGAGGAUGUUCAGUCACACUAGAACUGAGACACGGUCCAGACUCCUACGGGAGGCAGCAGUAGGGAAUAUUGCACAAUGGAGGAAACUCUGAUGCAGCGACGCCGCGUGAGUGAUGAAGGCCUUCGGGUCGUAAAGCUCUGUCGCAGGGGAAUAACACAAUGAAUGUACCCUGUAAGAAAGGAUCGGCUAACUUCGUGCCAGCCGCCACCGUAA
rnacentral:rRNA from 1 species